CCUAGUGCGCCAACGGAGAGCAGCUCACAGUCGAUGGAGACACACUCCCAUCACCUGCAUCGCUCCCAGGGGGACCAAGCCCAAGUCCACAAUCCAGUGAGGAACUAAUGUCUCCAGCAUCAAGGGAGCAGUUCCAGGCAGAGCAGGAAGUGAAUGAAAGCCUCAAGGGAGCUUGGACGGCAGCACGGGGCAACCCACCGCCUCUCAGCUCUUCUAAUAGGUCCAGGUUUGUUGUAGGAGGAGGACUCUUAUACAAGGAAACCCUUUUUGGUGGGCACAAGGAGGACUGGCAUCCUCAAAGACAGUUGGUAGUUCCAAAAAUCAGGUUCUUCAGUUUAUAGCCCAUGAGAGAGAUGACGCUGAGUGGCCCGAAGGAGUCCACUAUGAAGGAAAAAAGCAACGGUGACUUAGAAGAGGAAGAAAUCCCAGCCGGUGUGGACCAGACCUGAACCAGGCUGGCCUACAUCAUUUGUGAUUUGGGGGGCAUGUGAUAAAUGAAGCGGAGGAGAGGGUAGCUCCCUUUUAUGGACACCCAGCCAGCCAGUACCUAUAAAGUCCUUCUCAGUAGCCAUUAAUUGCUCUAUCUGUAAAGGGUUAAAAAGUCUCACUGCUAUGCAUAGGAAAAGGAAGUGAGUUGGCACCUGUCCAAAAGAGCCAAUGGGAAGGCUAGAACUUUUUAAAAUUGAAACAAGAUUCCCCUUUCCUCUGUCUGUGGUUGUUCUCCCAGGGAGAGGCAGACAUGGCAGCUAUGCUGCAAGAAGCUUGGGCCAGGUAUGAAAAUUCAUCAGUAUUAUUCCUAGAAACUACUGAUUUAAAACCCCAUAUAUAUAAGUACAUCAGGAAAUGUCUAGGAAGAUGCAAUUAGGUUUAUUCCUUUUAUUUUGUUAUGGCUUGUGGAUUCCUCUGU